UACUGUUCUCCUAUCUUCAGGAGAUUGGAGAAAAACUAUCAUAAAUCGGAGGCAGGUUGUUGCUUGGCAAAGAACUCGUACAUGUUGUAAGAAAAUCAAGGGAGGAUCCAGCCAUUCAGCGUCCAGAGGAGGUGGAGCAGCAAGCCAACAUCCAUCUUCACCUCCCACCUAGCGGCUGGACUGCCCCUUGCAGCGAACAUGGUACCUUGCAAAACUAUUUGCGUUUUUUGCCGUUCGCGUUGCGUGGCCGCUUCGUUUGCUUGCACUGUGCUCCGAUCUAGUGAAGGGCGCCAAGGAGAAGCAGCUCAAGGUCAAGGGCCCCGCCAGGAUGCCCACCAAGGUGCUCAACAUCACCACCAGGAAGGCCCCCUGUGGAGAAGGUAGUCGCCUACCACUCAUGUGAUCUAGAAUAACAUUAUGUAAAACAAUCUAACGAGCUAUGGGUCCAGCUAAAUGUUGAACCAUCUAUUCCUUCAUCUUCUUAAUUAGUGAGUGGGGCAAAUCUUUUACUUCGAUUAAAAAAUAGUCAGGUUCAGAAAAUUUGCAUGCAGCAGCAGCAUGUAGUGCAUGCAUUAGUCGUAUCAAAUCCUGUCAAGUAAUAUUAGUAGUUUCAUUCAGAAAAAUGGACUGCAGAAAGCAGUAGAUUCUUUGGUACAAGAUAAGUGAAUAUCAUAAUUCCUCUCGCCGUUAGGCCAUUGCUGUGAAAUAGGAUAACUAAAUGUGUUGAACAACCAUCUCUUGAGCGCAUUGGAACAAGAGUAAAGUGUUCAACUAAAACUGUUGACAAAAAA